rnacentral:tRNA from 1 species
GGGGAUUUAGCUUAGCGGUAGAGCGCUUGCCUAGCGAGCGAGGCCCUGGGUUCAGUCCCCA